UACAGAGGUCUCAAGCGUUGUUCGGAUUCAUUGGGCGUAAAGGGUGUGUAGGUGGCGCGCUAAGUCGGGUGUGAAAUUUCGGAGCUUAACUCCGAAACUGCAUUCGAUACUGGCGUGCUUGAGGACUGGAGAGGAGACUGGAAUUCAUGGUGUAGCAGUGAAAUGCGUAGAGAUCAUGAGGAAGAUCAGUGGCGAAGGCGGGUCUCUGGACAGUUCCUGACACUGAGACACGAAGGCCAGGGGAGCAAACAGG
rnacentral:rRNA from 1 species